GUCUAGGUUACAAAGCAAGUGUGUGUCCAGAUUAGAAUGCAGGGCAUCCUGGUUUCCAGCCCAGUGCUCCAGCCAACUAGAUCAUUCCUGUGUGCUAGAGAAAUUAAACAUUACAUCCCUUUCAGUGAAUGGCAUGAAAUUAAUUACCAUUUUGUAUGAACUGAACCAAGCAGCCUCGUAUAAUUGGACUACUUCCUCCUAUGUAUUGCAUGCAUCACACAGCCUGGUUAGGAUGUGGAGAAGUGUGACUAAUUUGUUUCUACCGCUUCAGCCUUUCUGUCCCCAUCACCCUGCUCCUCUCCCCAUCCCCCUAAGACUUCUCUCACAUGUUCCUACCCCAGUGAUUUCCUAUGCCCAUUCUCCCUGCUUUUCUGUACCAAAGGGUCUUUCCAAUACCUGUUUCCUAAUCUGAAGUGGCUUCCAAGGCCCUUUUCUUCAGCUCCCCUUUCCUCUGACACCCUGUCCAUUUACCCUUUUGUCCAAGACAUCUAAUAGCCAAGCCUUUCAGUGCUGGUGGUUUCUCCUGCCUGCCUCAUCUCCCCUAUCCAUCUCUGCCAUAGUUUGGCAUACCCAUUUCUUCAUCUGAGCCUCCUUCCCCCUCACUUUCCACACCAGCUCCGCUCCUUUUCCCUGACACACAUCAUCCUUUCACAUCAUUCCAGUCCAUGCCUUUCUGUCAGUCCUGCAGAACACAGCCACCUGUGCUGAUUCCUGCAGCCAAGUGGAAGGAACAAGUUUUGACACAUUAACUCUUCAAUACUGUCAUUUGGGGACUGUUCCUUUCAGAGCUGAGCUUCCCAGACAAAGAGUUUGGACUGCAGACCUCCUGCUGCCUUUGUACAAAACCAAGUAGAACCUGACUCAAACUAAAAUAGGUCUCUUGUAAGCACCUUAAGCCUGAAGUGAUCACUGAAUGCCACAAGCCCCAGUCCUAUGUGUAAGAGCUCUUAAGGGAAUUGAAGGCUGCAGGGGUGUUCAUCCACAGUUUCCAGCCCCCAGAGCAGCAGGAGCAGUGUGAAACAAAUCAAGUCAUAGGGGUGUUCCAUUCAGAGGAGGAGGAGGAGAAGGCCCAAGGAGGGGAGGGGGGGGAAGGAGGAAGAAGCAUUCUUAUAAAAUGCAGAAGGUGCCGAUUGUAUUUUGGGAUGUUUCCUUCUGCAGUUUUGCACUGUGGAAGGGUUCAUCACAGCCCUCAUGGAUGAAUAUCCCCAUGUUCUGAGAGCUAGGAAGAAGAUCUUCAUUGCUGUCAUCUGUUUCAUCUCCUACCUCAUUGGGUUCUCCAAUAUCACCCAGGGUGGCAUCUAUGUCUUCAAGCUGUUUGAUUAUUACUCAGCCAGUGGCAUGUGUCUUCUCUUCCUUGUCUUCUUUGAGACCAUUUCAAUUUCCUGGUGUUAUGGUAAGGGCAAGCCCCCUUGUUCCUUUGCUUCUUGCUUCUCCAUCUGCAUGGACACCGACACCAAAAGGGGGAUUUUCAGAAGCCCUUCACACUGGCCCAACUUUGAAGUCUGUUGUACAAUGGACAACAGUGUCAGGCGUGGGCUGAGGGGUUUUGAAAAGACAGCCAAAAAGAGGGACUUGACUUGCUGGUCCAGACUGACACUCUGCACAUGUUCAGAGACUCCUUCUCAAACUGAUAUGUUCCCAGGCCUUUAGCCUUUGAUUUUUCUUAGAGUGUACAACUUGCCAGUCCAAAUCUGAUUGUUGAGUCUUAUGGUCUGAUACAAUGUCAGUGGAUAAUUCCUCAUGCUUCAGAAGGGAGACCAACAUCCCCUUGUUUAUUCCAGGCCUGGGAUGUUGGGGAAUUCCUUCCUGACCCCUACAGAGUCAGUGUAUGGACCUGGUCUGGUUUACAGUAUAGAACACAAGGUGUAAUUACUCCUGUCAUCAUGUUAGUGUGAGAGGUUGUGGAUAGUUUUACUGAUCAUAAGAGGUUAUCUCAGCAGUUGUGAAAAUGGCCUUCUCUGUAACUGAGGAGUCUGAGUUCUUCCUGUUCCCCAAAAUGCUUGUUCUCCACUUUAAUUUCACCUUGCUGUCUCUCUGAUGCUCUUGGUCAGUAGUUGAUCCCUGAAUAUUGAUCCUGGUCCCUGGGUGAUGAUGAUGAGAACGAUGCCAAGAUGUUUUUGCCUCGUUUAACUCAAAUUUUUCCUUGUAGGUGUGAACAGAUUUUACAGGAACAUUGAGGAGAUGAUUGGCUACAAACCUUGUGGCUGGUGGAAGAUCUGCUGGGCUUUCUGUACUCCCUUCAUUUGUUUGGGUGUGUUUGUCUUCAGUGUUGCUGAAAUGACCCCUUUGACUCUGGGUAAAUACGUCUAUCCCACAUGGGGGCAGGGCAUCGGCUGGCUCAUGGCUCUGUCCUCUAUGUUGCUGAUUCCAGGGUAUAUGCUGUACUACUUCUUCAUCUCAAAGGGGACCAUCAGACAGCGUUUUCAGCAGAUGACACAACCCACCUCAGAGAUGAACAUUCAGAACAAUGAACUAACACCAAAGACCUCAUCAAACGGGAUGGGCUCUGAUGCUGCUGUCUAAGCAGAGGACAGGACCUCCUUGUCCUGCUCCAUAGCUGGUCAUGCUGCUACCCUUUGGUCUCCUCUGGCACCCUUUGUGUGUUCCCAGCUCUACUACUGGUUUCAGAGGAGCCCUAUCAUGUUACUUCUUUCCAGCUCAAGGUCAUCAGGAGUCUCUGUCUACCUCAACAAGGACUUUGUGCACUGUCUGUCUUCUAUAAUUCCAGUCCAGGCUGUCAGAAAAGGUUUUCUCAGGCCUAUGUCUGCUUACUUAGAGGUGGUAUUUUCUAGAGAACAACAGCUUCGUAGUGGUUCUUGUUUGUUGCGUUCUUCAGCCUCCUCUUCUAUACGGAAGUCAACCAUCCACCAUCUGAUGAACAGCUAAGCUUCCACAGCAAGGAAAACAGCUGCAUUUUGGCUCUCUGUGCAAGUCCAAGGUGAUCAUCACUUGAUUUAAUUUGAACCAGCUUUAAUAAGCACAUAUUCCUGAAGUGCUGUAUGUAUAAUGCAUCAAGGAAGAGCACACAAGUGCUGGGUGUUGGAUACCUCUCCAAAAUUGAGAUCAAGUGUUAGCGCUCUGGAUCCAUUUUAGCUAGGGAGGGCAAGGAGAUCUAAAGGUCCUUCUGUAGCCAGAUAGUCUUGACUUUGACUUGCUUUCUGCCUUGCCAUGGGGUUCUGUGGUGUCCUGUAGGGUUUGAGAAUGCAAAGGAAGGAAAUAGCAUGGGGCCAAAACUGCAUGGGAAGCUGCCUCCUACCUUGAGCUAUGAGUACUCCUCCCCUCCCCGGGCAUGCUCACAUAGUACUUUGAUGGCAGAAUGGUUCUUGCGUUUUGCAUUCUGUCAGUGUGGCAGACCUACUACCUGGAGAGUAGCCUCUGAAUUUUGCUCUUGCAGGGGGAUCCAUUCCUGCCCUUGCAGUUCUUAGUCUAGCAGAGGGGCAGUCCUGUGUCCUGAAAAAAUACAUAAAUCUCCACUUCUGUUUGUUUGGCUCUUGUAAUAUAAAUGUAUUGUGACAUUUUACUGACUUUCAGGAUUGCAUGCAGAAUGUAUGCAGCAUUAUUUCAAUCGUACCGGAACUGGGCCAGCAGGUAUCUUUCUGCACAUAGGUCACUCAAUAAAAUAUAGUCAAUAAGAUGCAAUCACUUGCUCAGUUUCCUUGCUUUUCCUUUGUUUCUGACUUCUCUUUUAUGCUUUCCUUUUAUUGCUCUUCUUUUUUUCUUAUAUUAUCUUCUCCCCCCACUUGUUAUCCAGCCAGUCAAAAGAAUCCAUUUAAUCUAUCUAUUCUAGUUGAUCUCCCUACCAUCUUUGUGGCCCCAUCAUUGUAGAAUCUGAGCUCUCCUUUCACUCCUCCUAUUUUUCCCCACCUUUUUUCCUCCUAUUUUCUUACCAACUGUACUCUCCAUCCCCACACACCCACUGCUUCUCUCCCUUUUAGCACUCACUGCUAAUUAGCAUCUCACUCAAACUUAGAGACCCAUUCUACAAGUGUGCUGAUGACCACUUCUGACAGAGGCACUGAGCACUCAGCUACCCAUGGAAGAUGAAGAGGCUCAGGAAAAGCUAAGCAUUUUUCAAGAUUGAGACCUAAGUGCCAAAAGUACCUCCAUGUCCAACCCAAGUGAAAACUAGCUUCUCCUCUUGCUCGCUUCAGAAUGAAUUGGUCCAAGGAUCAGUUCUUUGUGGCAGCAUUUCCCAAACGAGGAUGCAUGCCAAUCAUGACAGCAAUCAGUGGCACCCCCCUAUACUUCUCAUGCUUUUCUACUAGCUGCUGCUGCUACCUCCCUCUUCCCCACUGAUUCCUCUGCCAGUGAUUGCUGCUGACAAGAGGAAAUCAGUGGUGAUCAGCACCUGGAGCAGGAUUAGGCAACCCCUACCACACAUACCAGAGCAUGGCACGCAAAGGCAUUUUGCUUGGCACACAUACCUCAGAGUGGAUGAUGGGGGAGCCAUGAGGGGCUUGAUCUUUGUGGCAGAGCAACCCAGACCCCUUCCCUGCCAUCCUCCCCAAGGUGCAUGUAUACCCAUGACCAGCAACUAGCUGGGCCAGGGCUCCAUGGGCCCUGGUGCAGCUGCUUGUAGCCUCCACUCUGUGAGCAGCUCAGGCUGUGUGGUGGGCAGCAGGGGCCUGCCCACAGCCUACACUGGCUGUGGUAGGCACCCAGGAGACUAUAAGCAUCUAUACUGGGGUCAGUGGAGCCCCAGCCUGGGUUUUGGUUGGUGGCAGGUGUAUGAGUGCCUCAGGCUGUGCUGCCACGAUGAGGAUUGGACCUCUUGUGGCUCCUCUGCUGUCCACCAUGGUAUGCCAACAUCUUGAGGUUGCAGGUGUUUUUGGCACUGUGCCCAAAAAUGUUGUUGACCCCUGACCUGGGGUAAUUGUCAGCAAGGGAAGCAGCAACAAAGGCAGCUGAAGAAGGGGGAAGUGAUAGUGCAGGGUGUGAGCCUGCCAGGUUUGGGAAACACUGCCCUGUAGAGUAUAAAAAUUGUUUUUCCAAACCACGUUCUACCAGCUUCUAUUGAGACUGUUGGAAUAAUUAAUUACUGCUAUCCUGGAAGCCUGGGCAUCUUUUAUGAUUUUAUAGCAUUCUGCAUUCACUAGUACUGUUUGAAUCUGCAGUCACUGUUGUGCUUGUACUCUUAUGGCCUAGAAUUUGCACCUGUACAGGUUCUUCAGAAUGUCACUGAAGUCCAUAGCCCUAGUCACUGUACAUACUGCUGCUCCCUGCCCUCCAAUAAAUGUAGGUGUCUCUCUUGCGUUAUAAUGCUCCUUUGAUUAUUCUCAGCCCACUUUGUCUCUCAGAUACCACUUUUGCUUAGCUCUCCUCCCAGGCUCAGCCAUUUCUGCUUGUUCAGUUUUGCUUUCAAGCAUUGCUGCAAGCACAAUAGGCAUUUGUGGAGCCUAGUUGCAACUGCAAUAAUUUUUAGGAGCUGCUUUUGGCUGAAACACUGCUCUCACAAUGGAAUGCUCCCUAUGAUCAUACUUUCUCUCUCCUCCUCCUCCACAGCAACCUCACACAGGGCCACAGGAGAGGAUGCUUCUCUUGUGAGGAUUGUAGGAAUUCUGCCUUUUUCCCUGAGCACAUAACAGAGGCAGACACCACCUCCUCCUUCCCUUGUUAUACUUGCCUACAAGUGAAUGAGUUUUCUCUGACCUCAGUGUUCUCAAGCACCUGUCAGCUGACCCCAGUUCCUUGGCAUCCAGUUGAAAUAAUCCUCCAUGAAACCUCUUAAUUCUAAGCAGCUAUUUAGAGAGCAAUGGUGAAAUCUUCUCAAAAAAACCUGAUUUUCCUGAGGACAGCAAAAAAGGGGGAGGUGGUGGGGGGGGGAGAAUACUAUUGCCUCUGUAUAGUAAAGCCUGAAGCCUGGUUUUCAGCAGCCUGUGAUGCUGGGGAAUGGGCUGGAAAGCGAGACUAGUUCUGUGCUGCACCAACAUUGCUUCCUCCAGAGAAAUGUACACAGCUUCCAGGGAGAGGGAUCCUCCUCCACAUGCAAUUCUCAUUUAUUCAUUCCAAUCCAUGGCAAUGAUUGUAUAAAAUGUAUGUAAGGUUUACAAGAAGAUAUAAAAGUUGUAUGGCAUGAUCCUAGGUACUGUAGGCUUUGAGUAGACUAUUGCAGAAUUGUGGUGUUGUCAGUAGUGUUUGAACUCUCUAUUAAAAUAUUUUUUGGAAAGUU